GGAGGUGGAAGAGGGCAGAUAGGGAGAAGGCGUUUUUGGUUUCUUUCCUUUGUUUCUCACUUCUCUGGAUUGUUACUAAUUGGCAAUAAAUCUUACUACUAUCUCCCUACUCUGAGUCUGUUUUGCACGUUACAAUAAUUGUUGAUCCCUGUCCUUAUCUCAAACCUUGAGCUCCUUGUGUCAUAUUUUCUCCCUCUUCCUCUUUGAGGAGGGGGAGUGAAAGAGCUUCCAUGGUGGAACUCGGCUGCCCACCCGAGUAAAACCUCCACAUGUCCCUCUUCAAGAAGUAGUUGAGAGAUGUUUAUAAGAGAAGGUGUCUCUUGAAACCGCGUAAUUUAAGAUUUUAUGUUGACACUAUGUAGUUGCAAUUAAAAAUUGCAAAAAAAAAGAUUUUAAAAAAUUGCUAAGUUACUUUUAAAGAUGCUCUGAACAAAUGUGUUUUGUGUUUUUUUUUUUAAGUAUGUAUUUUGGUGGGUUUAAAAAAUCUAUUAUAAAUGGUAACUCUGCAGCUAAGACUGGACUGUUCAUUAGUAAGCCCAUAAAAAAUAUUCCAAGUACUGCAGUUGUUCUUUCCCCAGGGUACUAUGUACUUGGAGUUUUCAUUAUCUUUAGCUGGAAUUCUUUUGCAGAACAUAAGUUUAGUUUACAGUAAACAGACUGUUUCCAAAGCUGCAUUUCACAUACUUGUAUGCAAUGCAAAAAGUUCAGCAUGGAUUCAGCUCCUUAAUUAAGUCACUUUUUGCAAGCGAGUGUGAGCUUAUUGUUUUGAGGAGUACUGUCCAAAAGGAAAAAAAGUGAUGAAAAAUGGAGUGUAAAAGAAGGCAGUUAGCAAAUGGAAGCAAAAACGAACUUCCCCCUUAUCUUUCUAUAUCUACUGGGAGAAAAAAAAAAUACAAAUAAAGAUUUGCCAGUCUAUCCAUUUGAAGCUCAGAUUUUCAAUAUAAGACUGCACAUGGGUUGUGGUUUAACCCUGGCAGGCAGCUAAAUACUGCAUAGUCACUCACUCACCUUCCACCAGUGGGAUGGGGGAAGAAAAUCAGAAGAAAAGUUAGAAAAUUCGUGGGUUGAGAUAAAAAAUUUAAUAAGAAAGUUUAUUUUCUGAACUUAAGAGAACCACCCAAGUCCAGGUAUAUUUCACAGCUGUGUAUGGAUCUGUGGAAGACUGUUUAUACUGUGUGUCCCAACUUCAUGUAUUUCAUUUUUUUUUACUUAAAUGUUUACACGUUAGAGAAAAUGGGUCUUGCAGUGAAUCCUAAUUUUCUGAGCACAUGAAUGUGUCAAGAUGUGGGCUAAGGAAACACAGUGAAGAAUAUCUCUGCACUGUCUGAGAAAUGAGGGUCUUGCAGCAGAGCAGUAUGACUGGUAGGAAACUUCAUAAUGAGUUUGCUUGUUGGGGUAUGGUCUAGGAGGUGAAAUGGGUCGAUAAAUUGCCAAUGUCAUGGUUGAGGCACAAAGGAAAUUGUUUCAGUUCACCCUGUUGUAUAAACACAUUAAAACUGCAUAGUUGGCUGUAAGGGAGUUAUCUUUUACAAAAGCAUAGCAGGCAUUUUGCAGUUCAAGGCUAAACUCAGCAGCUGAGCAGAGAAACCUACCGAGUGACUUGCCGGAGGAGCUAGGGGCAGUUCCUGUGCCCAUCUAUCCAUAAGGUGGCUGAGCCUUGUCAGCACUUUUGUGGAGCUUUCCAGCCUAGUGACCUGUCAGAGAAAGGAGGUAGGGGCAUGAGGGUUCAUUACUACUUCAGCCAUUUUUUCCAUCUGCGAUUGUAUCCUACCCUCAUGACUGGAAAGGUUUAGUAGAAAGCAAGCGUCAUGUGGUGUCAUGUGCUGCUAUAUAUCAGCAUACUGUGCAGACGUGCAGUGUCAAAUGUGAGAGAAUUGUUCGGGUAAGUGAUGCAGACUUUGUUCUUAUUUAAAAAAGGUGCGGUCUCAGUUUCACUAUGCAAAGUACUGCUCCAGGCUGCAGUUUGUCAAUAGGUUAUGUUGUCCCUUCCUAGAUUGUGUAACUGCACAGGCUUAAAAUGUUUGACUGGAUAAGAUUAUAUGCUUUGGCUCAAAAUGGCUCUAAAAAGUCAACUUGCAAUCACACAGCAUGUGUACCAGCAUGAGGGUCUGGGUUACUGAGUACAAGGAGUGUCAAGAGUCCCAAAACAAGACUAAGAAGAAAACUUUGAAAAGUGAGAUUAUUUUAUGUUGUUGAAGUCUUCUCUUUUAAGUUUGUUCCUGAUAGGAGAAAAAAAAAAAAAAAAGCUUUCAAUUUCUUAAAGCAGAGACUAUCAUUUUUGGUAUGAUGUUUGGCAUAUCCAUGAUGCUUCUCUACAAACAGGCAUGACAUCAGAAGGAAUUCAAACAGGCGAAUGUAUGCUGAAUAAGGUCUAUAUUUAUUUUCUUUUUUUCCCCAGAAAAACUGUAAAUUUAGCUACUCCCUUUAUCCUAUGAAUUAAUAGUAGCAAUAAGUUAGUGUUAAAAUGUAGAUUGCACUCAAAGUUUAAGCAACCUGUAGCUGUAAGACUUGUCUCUUCAGAAGAUGAUAGCAAAAUUAACACUGAAAUUCAAAUUUUGAUGUAGAAGCAAAGAUAUUAUUGUGAGAAGUUUUCUGCGAAUAGGAGUUGAUGAAUGGGAGUGAAUAUUAAUGACAACACUUCUCCUGGUUCCUGGAGAUAAUACUGCCAGGAUCCACUUAACUCGGUCCUGCUGAGGGCCUUUUGUUUUUCCAUCAUGACCAUUUUCCUGUAGCACCUUGUUCUGCAGCCAUUUAUAGUUUAUAACUCUUUCUUCCUUUCCAAGCAAAAAAGGAAAUGGUGAUGUUUAUUGUUUAUUUAAAACGUAUUCAUUUCAGUCUGCCAUGGUAUUUACAAUAGAACAGCUUUUUUUUUUUUUUCCCUCCCCUUGGCAAAAUGAGAAGUUACCUGGUCACAGGCUAUGGCUAAAGAGCAAAUAUGUUGAAUUACAGUCCUUCAGGGUGUCUUCAGGGUGUAAUGGCCCAGGUCAUUGAGUGCCUGGAAGAUAAGGAAUGAAACAAGAGCGCUUUGAUAAUUUCUUGGAUAUGAGCAGAGCAAUAAAGGCAGAUGACUUCA